rnacentral:rRNA from 1 species
GGGCCCGCACAAGCGGUGGAGUAUGUGGUUUAAUUCGAUGCAACGCGAAGAACCUUACCAGGGUUUGACAUCCUGCGAAUCUCUUGGAAACGAGAGAGUGCCUUCGGGAACGCAGUGACAGGUGGUGCAUGGCUGUCGUCAGCUCGUGUCGUGAGAUGUUGGGUUAAGUCCCGCAACGAGCGCAACCCACGUCUUUAGUUGCCAGCAUUUAGUUGGGCACUCUAGAGAGACCGCCGGUGAUAAACCCGGAGGAAGGUGGGGACGACGUCAAGUCAUCAUGGCCCUUACGAGUAGGGCUACACACGUGCUACAAUGGCGCAUACAGAGGGCAGCCAACUUGCGAGAGUGAG